UAUGAUAAAAGAUAACUGUAUUAUGAAGAUAUAAGCAUUUGUAAGACCAUAUUAAUCAGUUUACCUUUAAUAUGAAAAUAAUUUAAAAAGGUUAAUAGUGGUACCUUUAACUAAACAAUCAUAUUCUAUAUGUUUCCUAACUGGCAUGUGCAUAAACAAACACGCCUCCUAUUGACUGAGAAUUCAUCUCCCAGCAAAUCCAAGAACCAGCAAAAGAUUUAGUUAACUACUAGCAGAUAUUCUCUCCUAUUUUGAAUCAACUUUGUAUUUUGAAUUACUGUUAUGAAUUGUUGUAUAUUGAUGAAUAUAAAUCUAGAGAGAUUAUAGGACUUAUGUAACUGAAUCUUUGUACAUAAGAAUAUUUAAAGGACUCUUCCUCUCGGCAGUAAAGUCUGCACAUUGGACUUUCUUUCACCUUUCACCUCUUUACUCUCUUAUACCUUGAGUCUUCGUACAUAGAGGACAACUUUCUUGACGCAAUAUCCAGCAGGCUUGCCUAGGCCAACGGAAGAGAGAUUAAUAAGAGCAGAAGAUGACUAUAAUGUUAAAAGGUGCCUGAUGGCUGAAGAAUGAUUAUUAGAACAAAAGAUCAUGCAUUCAUUUAUUUUCAAAUAAAAUUUAAAACUUCCGAAACUGUAUAAAUUUUAAGGCAAGUCCAUAAAAGAUACAAUAUUAGAAAAAGAGUUUUAUGAGAAAAGGAGAAAAGGAAAGACAGAGUGGUUGAUAAGAGUUUUUCCCAUGCCUCUUACCAUAACGACUUUUUAAUCUCUUUGUUUGUUAUUCCUUUUGAUUGUUUCUUUUUAUAUCGUCCAUCCCAGAGUCUUCUCAUGCAAAUUUUAUUACGAAACUUUCAAAAAAUUCGCUUCUUGCUCCUAAUAUAUACUUGUUCAUUUCUUUACACCAUAAGCUCUUUUAUAAAUUGAGAGGACCACAAGAAAAAAAUAGUACAAAAUUUUCAAGAAGUCUGCUUCUUUCUCCUAAUAUCUACUUUUACCAUCUCAAGCCACUCAUCAAAUCUUUUAUAAAUUGAGAGGAGAGACUACAUAAGGAUUGUAAGCAAGAGGGGUUGCUCUGAUGGUAAGCAACCCUCACUUCCAACCGAGAGGUUGUGAGUUCGAAUCUCCCCAAGAGCAAGUUGGGAAAUUUUUGGAGGGAAAGAUGUCGGGGUUCUAUUUGGAAAAGAAAAAGAUAAAAAGAAACACACCCUAAUCCUUAUUUGAAAUUUAGGAAUGCUUAAUGUUGUUAUUUAUGACUCCAAACCCAAUGCCAAAUAUAUCAACAACAAAAAAGUUUUUCAAGAAUUUAGAUUUGUGAGGUGUGGAUAUGAACUAUAUAUGAA
rnacentral:lncRNA from 1 species